UGGCGGGUAGCUCAGUAAUGGGAGAGCGCCGGGCAGGUGUCCGGAGGUCGCUGGUUCGAAUCCGGCCCCGCCUA
rnacentral:tRNA from 1 species